UAAUACGUAGGGUGCGAGCGUUGUCCGGAAUUAUUGGGCGUAAAGAGCUUGUAGGCGGUUUGUCGCGUCUGUCGUGAAAACCAGGGGCUUAACUCCUGGCGUGCGGUGGGUACGGGCAGGCUAGAGUGUGGUAGGGGAGACUGGAAUUCCUGGUGUAGCGGUGAAAUGCGCAGAUAUCAGGAGGAACACCGAUGGCGAAGGCAGGUCUCUGGGCCAUUACUGACGCUGAGAAGCGAAAGCAUGGGGAGCGAACAGG
rnacentral:rRNA from 1 species